rnacentral:rRNA from 1 species
GACGGAGGAUGCAAGCGUUAUCCGGAAUGAUUGGGCGUAAAGCGUCCGCAGGUGGCAGUUCAAGUCUGCUGUCAAAGACCGGGGCUUAACUUCGGAAAGGCAGUGGAAACUGAACAGCUAGAGUAUGGUAGGGGCAGAGGGAAUUCCUGGUGUAGCGGUGAAAUGCGUAGAUAUCGCUUGGAACGCCAACGGUGAAAACAGGUUGCUGGGGGUGUGCUGACGCUGAGACACGAAAGCCAGGGGAGCGAACGGG